GACGAACGCUGGCGGCGUGCUUAACACAUGCAAGUCGAACGGAAAGGCCCCUUUGGGGGUACUCGAGUGGCGAACGGGUGAGUAACACGUGAGUAACCUGCCCUUGACUUCGGGAUAACUUCAGGAAACUGGGGCUAAUACCGGAUAGGAAUCCUUGCUGCAUGGUGGGGGUUGGAAAGCUUCGGCGGUUUUGGAUGGCCUCGCGGCGUAUCAGCUUGUUGGUGGGGUAGUGGCUUACCAAGGCUUUGACGGGUAGCCGGCCUGAGAGGGCGACCGGCCACAUUGGGACUGAGUUACGGCCCAGACUCCUACGGGGGGCAGCAGUGGGGAAUAGUGCACAAUGGGCGGAAGCCUGAUGCAGCAACGCCGCGUGCGGGAUGACGGCCUUCGGGUUGUAAACCGCUUUCAGCAGGGGCGAAGCUUGUGGUGACGGUACCUGCAGAAGAAGCACCGGCUAACUACGUG
rnacentral:rRNA from 1 species